GAUGAACGCUAGCUACAGGCUUAACACAUGCAAGUCGAGGGGAAACGACAUCGAAAGCUUGCUUUUGAUGGGCGUCGACCGGCGCACGGGUGAGUAACGCGUAUCCAACCUGCCCAUCACUUGGGAAUAACCUUGCGAAAGUAAGACUAAUACCCAAUGACAUCCCACGAAGACAUCUGAAUGGGAUUAAAGAUUUAUCGGUGAUGGAUGGGGAUGCGUCUGAUUAGCUUGUUGGCGGGGUAACGGCCCACCAAGGCAACGAUCAGUAGGGGUUCUGAGAGGAAGGUCCCCCACAUUGGAACUGAGACACGGUCCAAACUCCUACGGGAGGCAGUAGUGAGGAAUAUUGGUCAAUGGGCGAGAGCCUGAACCAGCCAAGUAGCGUGCAGGAGGACGGCCCUAUGGGUUGUAAACUGCUUUUAUAAGGGAAUAAAGUGGGUCUCGUGAGACUUUUUGCAUGUACCUUAUGAAUAAGGACCGGCUAAUUCCGUG
rnacentral:rRNA from 1 species